UAUUUUUUAUUAUUUUACACAUAUUGUAUGUCUGUUUUAUUAAAUACACACUACACCAGCGAUUCCCAAAGUGUGGGCUGCGAAGGUACUGCAGGUGGGCCGCGAGAGGUAAUUUACAAUAAAUAAAUUAAAUGUUUUUAAUUUUAAAUUUUGGAAAGUUAGAAAUUAAUAUAAAAAUAUUUAGGAUUUAAAUUCCGUGUUAUUCUUUUAUCUGACCUAUUUUUGAUCCGUUCGCUCGAAACGGCUGCUCUUGUCCCGGCUGUCGUUAUUCAACAAAAGGCGCUGCCAAACAAAACAAUGUCAAAUGGGGCGCCCUCUUGUAGUAUUAAAGUAAAUAUAUAUGAGCUCCUGAGAAAAUGGUAUACAAAACAUACAUUGUCGGUUAAUACAUUUUUAAUCGGUUAUAUUCUUAAGGUCAUUUAAUCAUCCCUAGUUUAUGUUUUGAUCAGAGUUGUGAUUAAAGGUUUGGAUGGGCCGCAAAAGAUUUUCAGAUUUCAAAUUGGGCCGCGGCAUUCUUGAGUUUGGGAACCGUUGCACUACAUCUACACUUCUGCUCAUUUGUAAAGCACUUUGAAUUGGUGUAUAAAGUGUGCUAGGCCUAUUUUAAAUGAAUUAAUUGAUAUUGGUGAAUGAGGCCCUUUGUGCUGUGGAUGGAUGAAGCAUUAUUAUGUUGCAUUUUUUACUAGUUCACUCGGCUUUCUAUGCUUAGUAAAGUUAGUAAUGUGGACUGAUUGUUUUUUAGUCCUUAAGCAUUACUAUCAAUUUGAAUUCUUUACAAAACAUUAUUACAUCAGAGAUUUGUGUACUUCUAAGGACUCUUCCAAAUACCUCAAUUCCUGUCAAUAAAUGAUAGUUUUAGGUGGAUGUUGUGCAAACACAGACAGUCCAACUCUGUACUUGAUACUAAUUGAUAUCAACACUGCACUGGAGAAGGUUUGAGGACAAUGAUACUUUAAAAAUGUUAAUUUUUCCUCUCACGCUUGUCUCAGUUGUUGGGAAUCCCCAGAGGAUGUAAAAAGAAACUCAGCUUACCAUCAUGCUCCCAGCUGCAGCAACAAAACCCAUUAUUUUACAGUAUAUUCUCAGACGCAAAAAGUUAUUGUAGUUGUUAAAUAAACAGAUCUGGAAUUUCAUCCCAGAGUCCAAGCUGUGCUGAGGUGUUCAUCUUUCUUCCAUCAAUUAUUUUCCCACCGUUUUUGUCUCGUGUGUGUCAGCAAAUAAAUGAACCUUAAGUAAUCUUGACGCAUACAUGCCAUUUUUUUCAUUUUGAAACAUCUUUGUAAAGAUAUGUGUAAGGUAAUGAAGCUAAGUUGAUAUAUUUGUCUCCAUAAUAACAAUUGUGUCUGUCUGAGUACGGUUUUAACUUAGGCUGAUGAAAUGAUGUUGUAUGGCCACCUGGGGGCACCUGAAACAAGCCGAAAUACAACAUUAUGAACUGUAUGAGGAACUUUCAGUUUUGUUGAUUUUUUCCAGUCCAUGUGAACUAAAGUGGAAGUGUCUCCGACCACCGGACAUGGAAAUAUGUCCGUCACUGCAGCUGGGGUCCUGCAGUCAGUCCCACAACGUCCUGGUCCUGGCUCUGGUUCUGGUCGGUGCCUUUCUUCCC
ensembl:lncRNA